rnacentral:rRNA from 1 species
UACGAGGGGGGCGAGCGUUGUUCGGAAUUAUUGGGCGUAAAGGGUGCGUAGGCGGCCUGACAAGUCUGAUGUGAAAUCCCUGGGCUCAACCCAGGGCCUGCAUCGGAAACUGUCGGCUUGAGUAUGGGAGAGGUGAGUGGAAUUUCCGGUGUAGCGGUGAAAUGCGUAGAUAUCGGAAGGAACACCUGUGGCGAAAGCGGCUCACUGGACCAUUACUGACGCUGAGGCACGAAAGCUAGGGGAGCAAACAGG